AAUCCGAUGCGGGGUAGCCAUGCCCCAGAGUCCUGUACUCUUACCCACCAGCGUGUAACAGUGUCUAAAGGAAAUUGGAAGACCAGUUUCCCUAAAAUCGUUGUGUUUAAGGCUGUAGUCUGCAGGGACGGGAGGAAAAGGGCUCAGUGAGAUGUUGGCACGCGUUGUCUUUAACUUCACCACUUGAUGAUAUGAGUAGUCGCAUUGAUGAUCUGGAAAAGAAUAUCGCCGACCUCAUGACACAGGCUGGGGUGGAAGAACUGGAAAGUGAAAACAAGAUACCUGCCACGCAAAAGAGUUGAAGGUUGCUAAUAAUUUAUACUGGAAUCUGGCAUUUUUCCAAGCCAAGAGAAGAUCGAAUGGCUUUUUGCAGCUAACUACUAUGUGUAGACAGGUUUUAUAUUAUAAAGUAUGCAUUCUUAUCACAUACUAUAUAGUUAGUUUGUAGAGUGAUUUCCCCCCAGUUUCUUGAACAUGGUAUCUUCACAUCUUGGACCUUGGUCAGUUGUGCUAUUCAUUAUUAAACACUAAAACUUUGGCGGUUCUUGCAU
rnacentral:sRNA from 1 species